GAUGAACGCUGGCGGCGUGCUUAAUACAUGCAAGUCGAGCGAACAGACGAGGAGCUUUCUCCUCUGACGUUAGCGGCGGACGGGUGAGUAACACGUGGAUAACCUACCUAUACGACUGGGAUAACUUCGGGAAACCGGAGCUAAUACCGGAUAAUAUAUUAAACUGCAUGGUUUACUAGUGAAAGACGGUUUUGCUGUCACUUAUAGAUGGAUCCGCGCCGCAUUAGCUAGUUGGGAAGGUAACGGCUUACCAAGGCAACGAUGCGUAGCCGACCUGAGAGGAAGUGCAGCCACACUAGACCUGAACCACGAUCCAGUCUCGUACCGGAGGCAACGGUGGAGAAUCUUCCGGGAUGGGCGAAAGCCUGGCGGGGAAACGCCGCGUGGGGGAUAAAUGGCUUCGGAUCGGGAAUCUCAGUUGUUAGUGAGCAGCAAAAAAGUAAGUAACGUUGCACGUCUUGACGGUACCUAAUGAGAAAGCAACGGCUAACUACGUG
rnacentral:rRNA from 1 species